GACGAACGCUGGCGGCGUGCUUAACACAUGCAAGUCGAACGGAAAGGCUCCAGCUUGCUGGAGUACUCGAGUGGCGAACGGGUGAGUAACACGUGGGUAAUCUGCCCUGCACUCUGGGAUAAGCCUGGGAAACUGGGUCUAAUACUGGAUAUGACCUUUCUCCUUAUGGGGUUUGGUGGAAAGUUUUUCGGUGUAGGGUGAGCCCGCGGCCUAUCAGCUUGUUGGUGGGGUGAUGGCCUACCAAGGCGACGACGGGUAGCCGGCCUGAGAGGGUGAUCGGCCACAUUGGGACUGAGAUACGGCCCAGACUCCUACGGGAGGCAGCAGUGGGGAAUAUUGCACAAUGGGCGGAAGCCUGAUGCAGCGACGCCGCGUGAGGGAUGACGGCCUUCGGGUUGUAAACCUCUUUCAGCAGGGACGAAGCGUAAGUGACGGUACCUGCAGAAGAAGCACCGGCUAACUAUGUG
rnacentral:rRNA from 1 species